rnacentral:rRNA from 1 species
AUCGGCAUCCUAUACAUGCAAGUCGACGAACGGAGGAAGAGCUUGCUCUUCCAAAGUUAGUGGCGGACGGGUGAGUAACACGUGGGCAACCUGCCUGUAAGUUGGGGAUAACUCCGGGAAACCGGGGCUAAUACCGAAUAAUAAGUGGUGGCGCAUGCCACGGCUUUGAAAGAUGGUUUCGGCUAUCGCUUACAGAUGGGCCCGCGGUGCAUUAGCUAGUUGGUAGGGUAAUGGCCUACCAAGGCAACGAUGCAUAGCCGACCUGAGAGGGUGAUCGGCCACACUGGGACUGAGACACGGCCCAGACUCCUACGGGAGGCAGCAGUAGGGAAUCUUCCGCAAUGGACGAAAGUCUGACGGAGCAACGCCGCGUGUAUGAAGAAGGUUUUCGGAUCGUAAAGUACUGUUGUUAGAGAAGAACAAGGAUAAGAGUAACUGCUUGUCCCUUGACGGUAUCUAACCAGAAAGCCACGGCUAACUACGUGCCAGCAGCCGCGGUAAUACGUAGGUGGCAAGCGUUGUCCGGAUUUAUUGGGCGUAAAGCGCGCGCAGGCGGUCUUUUAAGUCUGAUGUGAAACCCCCCGGCUUAACCG